rnacentral:rRNA from 1 species
AACUCUUGAAAUAUUUAGGAUUAAGUGUCUUUAGGUUUGAAUAGUACUGGGUUGGGUGACCUUCUGAGAAGUCCAAAUUUAGGAGUUU